rnacentral:rRNA from 1 species
CCUACGGGGGGCAGCAGUGGGGAAUAUUGGACAAUGGGGGGAACCCUGAUCCAGCCAUGCCGCGUGUGUGAAGAAGGCCCUCGGGUUGUAAAGCACUUUCAGUGAGGAAGAACGCCUGGUGGUUAAUACCCAUCAGGAAAGACAUCACUCACAGAAGAAGCACCGGCUAACUCCGUGCCAGCAGCCGCGGUAAUACGGAGGGUGCGAGCGUUAAUCGGAAUUACUGGGCGUAAAGCGCGCGUAGGUGGCUUGAUAAGCCGGUUGUGAAAGCCCCGGGCUCAACCUGGGAACGGCAUCCGGAACUGUCAAGCUAGAGUGCAGGAGAGGAAGGUAGAAUUCCCGGUGUAGCGGUGAAAUGCGUAGAGAUCGGGAGGAAUACCAGUGGCGAAGGCGGCCUUCUGGACUGACACUGACGCUGAGGUGCGAAAGCGUGGGUAGCAAACAGGAUUAGAUACCCCUGUAGUC